AGCAGUCGCCGCGGUAAUACGUAGGGUGCAAGCGUUAAUCGGAAUUACUGGGCGUAAAGCGUGCGCAGGCGGUUAUAUAAGACAGAUGUGAAAUCCCCGGGCUCAACCUGGGAACUGCAUUUGUGACUGUAUAGCUAGAGUACGGCAGAGGGGGAUGGAAUUCCGCGUGUAGCAGUGAAAUGCGUAGAUAUGCGGAGGAACACCGAUGGCGAAGGCAAUCCCCUGGGCCUGUACUGACGCUCAUGCACGAAAGCGUGGGGAGCAAACAGGAUUAGAUACCCGGGUAGUCCCUGUCUCUUAUAC
rnacentral:rRNA from 1 species